AAAAAAAAAAAAAAAAAAUUCUCUUAAUGGCUGAAGUCCAAAUUCCUUAACAUGGCAUAAAAAUGUAAUCCUGUCAUCCCUUAAAAUAGUGUCCAAACUUCUUAGCAUGCUAUGUAAAUUUAAUCAUAUAACUUCUUUUUAUGAAAACAUGCUCUGUUUAUAAAUGACCUGUCUCCUCAGCAUGGAGUCCAGCCUGGAUGCCCUCGUGCCUCGGGGACGCCUCUGCUUAGGAGUGUUCCCAUGCUUAUUCAUUAUCUGGUUCAUCAAAUCCAGACACCUUAACUUAAAAUAUGUUUACAAUCCAAUUCCUCUGGAGACAAAACUCUCAUCAAUUUACUCCUUAAAACUCUUUACUGGCUGACAUCCAAACGCCUCUGCACAAGAUUUCAACAAUGAGCUCAAUGAGCUCAUCCCCCACCCCUUCCAAAUACAACACUUGAAUGCUUUCAACUCUCAUGUAAAAUCACAUCUCCUUAGCAUAGGAGCAAAAUCUGAUCCUAUCAUCUUUAUCAUAGAGAUCCUGUCUUUUAGCUGUGCCAAAAUGCACUUGUUUGAGCACGUAACUUCUCAACUUAAAACUUCUCGAAGUUUCUUCAUUGCCUGUAACAUAAAGUCCCAACUACUUAACGCAAAAUGCAACAUUUUACCAUGUAAUUUCUCUCAGGAUGGUCUAUUAAAACCCCCCAAAUCUCAUCCUGUUACUGCUUUAAGCCCUUUAUUGGAUUAAAUCCAAAAUUAUUAACAUGAUACAAAAAUUCCAUCAUGUCAUGCCUUAAAAUAAUUCACACUUCCUAGGACAAUAUAUAAAAUUUGAUCUUAUAACUCCUUUUUAAAAUCUUACAGUGUCUCUUAAUUGUAAAUGGAAGAAAAGUCAAAAUUCUUAGCAUAAAAUGUGAAUUUUAUUUUGGAAUUCACUGCAUACUAUUUAUCAAACACAAAAAACUCACCAGGCCACUCUGUUAGAAAGAUUUAUUGGCUAAGUCAAAUUCCUAGGCGUGUGCAAAAAUCUAAUCAUGUUGGAGCCUCAAAAUAAAUUCCAAAUUUCUUUUCAUAUUCGCAAUAUUGAUCAUUUAACUUCUCUGAUUAAAAUCUUUCAAUUUUGCUGUCAACAUUAAUCACACCUCCUAGGCAAGCUCUGCAGGUUGAAACUGGCACUCCCCCAAGACUGAAAGUCAAAAUGUUUGCACAUGAUUGUUAAAUUGGUGGCCAUUACUUUUCUUUUACAAUUUCCAGUGUUUCCUUGUUGCUUGUAACGUGAAUCCCAAAGCAGUUACGAGUAAAAUAUAUUUUAUCAUGUUUUUCUGCAUACUUAUCUCCCACAAGCAAGAAUCUCAUCAUCACAUUUCUUAAAACCCUUUGGCAAAAAUCCAGACUCCUUAGCAUGAUAUAAAACUUUGAUCCUGUCAUCCCUCAAAACAAAGUCCAGAUUUCUUCCCAGGAAACUCAAAUUAUGAAACUCUUGCUUAAAAUCUUAACGUGUUUUCAUCACGACAAAAAGCCUCACCAUCUUAGCAAGGCACCCACUUUUAAUCAUGGCACUCGUAGCUUCCAACCUGUCAAAUUUCAUGUCCUCAACAUAAAAUCUAAAUGCCUGAGCAUGAAAUGAAAAUUGGACCAAGUAUUUCUUACGCUGAAAAUCUUUAGAUUGCUCUUCUUUACUUAAAACUAUAAAGCUGAAGUUCUUUUCGCAUGAAACCAGACCUUUUCACCAUCUACCCUUUCCAGCUUCCAUUUCCUGUUCCUCAUGCUUCUCUCUGACAAGACUGAGUUUCCCAUUCUCCAACCUCCAAACGCAUUUUGAUUUUAUUGUCCCCAAAUUUUUCGUUUCUUUGUUUUUUUUUUAACCAAGUCCUUCUGCCCAUAAUUAAUUCAUACAGCAGCAUGUCCUGAUUCUUUUUCUGGGCCAGGCAUGGUGCUUGAUACCCGAUGGACGGAAAUGGAGGCAGACCCACCCUGCAGGUCAUCACUAGCAAGGAGAAGUGACUCAUGUCCUGGAGACGAAUACUCCCCUGGAGGUGGUGUGAAGGGGAGAUGGCUGCUUUCUCCUGGGAAGGGAGCAGAUGCCUGGCCCAGGACCAAAUCAAAAGCUGAGGCUCACUGCCCCCAGUGGGCAGUGGGUCCGGGGGUUUCUGAGGCCAGGGCAUGGCCCAGUCCUGCUGCCCCCAGGAUGGCACCUGGUUUGGAGGCGUGAGUAGCCCUGUUAGUCUGACUUUGAAGAAGACCAGCCUUCCAGACUCGCUUGGUGCCCUGCCAGCAGCUUGUGUUUCUUCCUUCAAGAGUCUGCUUAGAGAUAAUAAAGAUCAACACUAUUCCUUAUAACAACACCUCAGUAUCCUGUGAGCUGUACACACCAGAGUUUAUUUAACCACCUUGCUGCUGGCAUGAAAGCCUCAGGUCCUUUACCCUGGUGGGGGUGAAUUGUGGCGGCAGGUGUAAGUAAUUGCUGAGAUAUGGGUUUGGGGAGUGGGUUCACGAGUGUUUAUGACAUUAUUAUAAAUGAAUAUAUGAGUGCAUAAAUUAGCAAAAUAAAAGGGGGCCUUUCUGGACCAAUGAUGAGACAGUGUUUAUGAACAAAAGAUCAUGAUUAAUCCAGUUCUGCACAAAAUACUGAGGUCCAUUAGAAGACAAUAGGUCUCGGCUUAUUCAAUCCUUUUAAGAGCUGUUUAAUAUUCCAUGGUAUGUAUGCACCAUUGUUGAUUACACUCUUUUCUGCUGUUGAAAAUCUCAGCUCUGGGGGAGGAGAAUGUACAGAUAGAAGCUUUGGUCACAGUCCUAGUCGUCAGAGUGGGUCACAGAUUCAUAGGUGUUCAUUAAAUUAUUUUUUAAAAAAGAAUACAUAAAAUAAAAAUGGUCCUUAUGCAGAUCAGUGAGGAAGCGUGUCACAAAUCGAGGUUUUAAUUAAUAGAUUCUGCUCAACUGAUGCCCGAUAAAAAAGAUCUAAGCUGUUUCCCUUUUUUUUUUGUUACCAACGACACUGCAGUGAGCAUUCUUGCAGCUAAAUCGGUAAACACAUCCUUGACUGUUCUUUUCCCCAGCUUCUUAGAGAUGGGGUGGUGGGUUAAAUUGUUUGCAAAAGUUUAUUUUCAUUGAGUGAUCUUUCUAACAUGGCGUUUUGACCUUGUUACUGUCUUGCUUUAAAGCCUCCAUCUGACUUCCUGGAGCUUCCGGGAUGGGGUCCAAAAAAUAAGGCCUUAUCCUGGCACGGAAGACCCUUUAGGGUCUGGCUUGGAACUCGCCAGCCUCAGCCCCUCCCCACUGCUGUUUCCCUGCUAGGCGCACCUCAUCCCCACAGGGCUACCUGUUCCUCAGCGGGCUCCCUGCUUCUUACGCUUCGCCUGGCCAUGCCUUUUCAGCCAGCUUCUCUCCGGCCUUAAAGAGCAGACUUGAAAUAUCCCUGCUGGGGAGCCCAAAGUUAGAUGUGCCCCCCAAAACACUGUGUUCAAAAGUCCUGACCCUGGAAUUGGGAUGCCUCAUUGACAUUUUUUUUUCCCAGUUAAAGGGAAUGUUUUACAUUUUUCUAGAAUUGAUAAAACUAGCCAACUGUUAAUCACUCCCCUUCCUUUGUCCCUUUCUAGAAGCCCUGGGCUCCCCCAGUGUUGCCUGGAUCUGACUUUGCCUCAGUGAAAACCACCUCGAAUUCUUUCUUGCACUGAUGGGCAGAUGGGCAGUGUCAGAGGAUCGUGUCGUCUGCCCUGUGGCGCUGGUUGGCUUGGUCAAAUCAGUGUUCAAACUAUCUCCUGCCCUUUCAAGAGGAUCUAGGGCUCUAGAAGGUAAGUAUGGCUACAAAUUUAGGGGUUGAAUAUCUGCCUGGACCUUAAAUGAGAAACUCAACCUCAGCAAACCUCAGUGUUCUCACUGAAAAUGGAGCAAGUUCUGGGUCUCUCCUUGGGUCACUGAGAGGGUUAGACCAUUAACCCCUGAAGCCCCCAGCCUCAUGUCUAAUAUGUCAGAGACACUCAGCAAACAGUAGCUGCGAGAAUGAUUCUUUUUCCCAGAAAUCUUUAAAGGGGAGUUGGGCAGGGGUAGGCAAAACAUAGCUGGCUAUCGUCCAUAAAACAAAAGGCUCCUGGCAGUCCAGGCCCCGUGAGUGGUUAAAACAGCACAUGCACUACAUCCCAAAAAGGGCAGCCUACCGUCUCGGGGCUGGGUUCGCUUGGCCCUCCUGGCUCGCCAUUCAGCUGCCUGACCUCAGCUGUUGUGACCCGGGACCAACGGGGGACCCCGGCAGGUGCCUAUCCACUAGAUGGCACUCUCUACUGUGAGUCCAGGGGGUACCACCACCCCAAACCGCUGUAGCCACUGCCCAGCCCUGGGGGUACCGCUGGGGGAUGCACACCACUAAAACAUCUCAGAUAAUUUCUAAAAAGCACUUCUCAACGUGUCAUGCAAAAGAUGCAGUGGUUUUUUUCCUUGCAUAAAUCCCAACCAGAUUGCAGGAGCAGAGGGAAUGAACAUGUAGUGACUUUGCUGAGGCCAGACACUGGUACGUCUACACUCUCUUUAAAUCCUCGCUCCGGCGACAUCUGAUUUCCCUUUAUUUUACAGAUUAGAGGACUUUGAGAGGUUAGUGACUUGCCCAAGAUCGGCUAGGAAGCAAGACCCAGGAUUCCAACUCAGGCCUGUUGUGAGAAUCAAACGAGAUAAUGUAUGCUGAGGCAUGCUGUGAACACUGCGUGCUGGGUACAGGAGGUACAAUAUUAAUGAUCCCUGCUGCUUGGAGGGAACUUGCACUUAAAAUGUUAUGCUUUUCAUUUUCACACCACUUGGGAGGGAGGAAAGGCUGGUGGGAUGAUCGCCACCUGAGGCUCAGGGAGGGGACAGGUUUUCCCCAAGGCCCCACAGUAUGAAGAAGGCAGGAGGAGCAGGGCGCCACACUAGUGGUCUUCCCACGACUCUCUCAUGAAAGUCCCCCAACGGACAGAUUGAUGUGUAUAUGACAUUAUAUAUGUACCCCAUAACUCUAUAUAAUAUAUAGAAUUAUUUUCAGGUCCCUGAGUUGCUCUGAGGCCAGUUGUGCCAGAUGGUGCACACCCAGGACAGGCUGCAGGGAUAGGAAGGAAACUGGCUGUGUAUCAUUGCCAAGGCCCAUAGUGAAGCCUCUUUGGGUUUCUUGGAAUCAAGUUUGAACAUCAAGAAUCUCAUGGCAUAGACUUCUCCAAGGGCAGUCCGAUUUCACAAAAUGAAUUUUCAUUUUCCAAAGCGCAUCUCUUAGUUGGAUUUCUGUUUUUCAGGGUACUUGUUUAAGCUCUGAUGCCGUGUCCAAAAAAGAACAGACCCCCAACAAUUCCCUGCCCGAGUCCCAAACCCUUGACUUGAUCUGAGCGUUGAGCUAAUUCAUUUCUUUGAUCAAACUGGGGACUGUUUAACCAGUCAGGUGGGCGUCACGGGACGGGGAAAGGGUGGGGUGUGCGCAGGUGUGCAAGGCAGGCUACUUGAGGGAUGGGCGAUAGUUCAGGUCACCCUCCGGUUGGACCCACGAGGGCGCUGCGUUCCUCAUUCUACAAAUCGUACAAGUCGGGGCACAAGACAGAGAAGCCAGGUCACGUCUCUGCAGUUACACAGCUCACGAGUGCCUGCUGGGGUGGAACCUGGUCUGUCUGUCUGUCUAACACCAGAGCUCGGGCGCUGCUGCAGAGGGAGCCAAGAUUUGGGUGAGGGAGGGGCUCAGACGUGGGGUGGAGGGUUUUGUUUGUUUGUUUUUUUAACCUGGUUGCCAUUGGCAUGAAAAUAAUAACAUAACUUUGCUUGGGGACUAGUGCUGCGACUAUCUUGCUGAUGGGGAAACAGGCACAGAGACAUUAGCUCGUUUUCCUGAUGUCACCCAGCUAGUCUGGCGUUGAGGCUGGAUUUGGGAGGUGGGUACUGAGGUGUGAGCAUAUGUGCUGUACCCGUUGGGCCCACUGGCUCAUGAAGUGAGCACAGGUGCAGAUGGCUCAGCGAUCUGGGUUUGAGGGCUUUUACCAACCCCCCAGCCGUGAGUGUGCUCUGAACUCAAGCUUGUAUAUUUCACAUUCUCCCUUGACCCUUCUUUUUAGCCUUCACUGAAAACUCCUGCAAGCCACUGAUCCAUGAAAAAUAAGAAUACAUAUAUUACAUAUAUGUUGUAAAUUUAUAUAUAUAUAUAUCUGGAAAGGGAUUGUAUUCAGGAUAUUUGGAGUGGUUGUUUAAGGUAGAGGGAGGCAGGGGCAUGAGAAGGGAAGGGAUGGAGGUGGGAACCACCAGUGGUAAUUGUCAUGGGUGGUUUUAACAAUCAAUACAAUAAGAGAGAGGCAUGCCAGCAGGAAGGACGGGAGUGGGUUGUAAACCAGGGAUGGUGAUUAAUUCUCCACAACUGAGGGGCAUUAAAAAAAGAGAUCAGAGCAGUUUGUGGCUAUUAAUUUUGUUGUUAAAAAUAAUCAAGGAAUAAAGAAAUAAGGUAAUAAAGGCCUCGAUUGGAACAAUUUUGAAAAUGUGUUCUAGGCAAAGGAUUAUGACUAAUCCAGGUCUGGUAACCUGAUAUUAACAAACAAAAAAGGCCUUGUAGGCCAGUUUCUUUUUUUUAACCAGCUUUAUUUUCCAUAGAAUGGGCACACUGGGGUUUCUCUGCCAGAGAAGGUGAGUGCAGACAAAUAAAAGUCGGCUUCAUGGGUGUUGAUUGAACAGUUAAAAAUGAAUGAAUGUGCAAAUAAAACUAGAGACAGCCAAGCAUGUACCAAUGAUGGCAAUGUGUUCCUCACUCCCCAGCUUCAAAAAUAUAUCAUUGACAAAUAAAUAUUAUAUGUAUUUGUAUUGUAUGUAUUUAAGUUGUACAGUGUGACAUUUUGAUAUACAUAUAUAUUGUGAAAUGAUUACCAUAAUCAAGCAAAUUAACAUAUCCAUCAUCUCAUAUAGUUCCCUUUUUCUGUGUGUGCAGUGAGAACACGUAAGGUCUAUUCUUUUAGCAAAUUUCAAGCAUGCAGUACAUUAUUAUUAACUGUAGUCACCGUACUCUGCAUUGGGUCACCAGAACUUACUCCUGACUGAGAGUCUGCAUUCUCUAAGAUCUCCAGAUUCCUCUCACUCCUGACCCCUAGUAACCACCUUUCUAGUCUCUGCUUCUGUGAGCUUAUUCCAAAACAAAAGCCAGGUUCUAGGCUGUUGAGGCUGACAGUAGGCAGUAUAUCAACAGGUAUACAGAAUAAUCACUGGUCUUGGGCUAAAUGGUGACUUCAAGUGUGGUGGCUGCAUAGUUAAAAAUGAAUUCAGUGAGUACAAAAGUGAUGAAAUGAAAGAAUGUCAAGAAUGGACCACAAAGACAAUGUUUUAUGACCUAAAGAUUAAGAUUCAUCCACCGUUAUGUACAAUUAUGGACUAUUUAAAAUAAAACAAGACUUUUAUCUCAGUGGAUAAGAAGUAUUUGGAUGUACUAAUCAAUAUUUUUGUUCUGGAUCAGUGGUGGGUUCAUCUGUGUUUACUGUGUUUAAAAAAAUAAGUGAAAACAUUGAAAAGGGUGAGUAGGAGUCAAAUAUGAUUGUUACUCCAAGUCUGCAUCAUCUGCGUCUGUUAGGAAGAAUAUCUGAGCUGGCUCCCUCUUGGGUAAGAUGUGUAGGGACCUAUGUUUGUGAUAGUCAUGAUUCUUGUUUUUGAUUAGAGUGGCGAAUUAAUACAUACUCAUUGUAAUAAUACAAAUUAAUAAAUGAAUAAUUGAAUACAAGGAGAGCUGUGAUUGGGCCAGUGGUGAGACUGUCAUGACCUAAAGAUUAUGAUUAAUACUGUGCUUCUCACCUGAUGGCCAUUAAAAAUAUCUAGUUUUUUUCAUCCUUUUUAAUAUCUGCCUUGUGUUCCACAGAAUGGAGGCUCCAGAGUGACAUUAAUGACACGUUGUCGAUGAAGAUCUUGAUUGUGACCUCUGUGGAAAAUGAGCCAUGAACCAACCAAUGAUAAGUCUACUUUUCUUCCACAUAGCAACCACAGGAUAGAUGACAUUCAUUUUCUAAGAAACAAAAUCUUGGCAGUUAGAUCCGUGGGGUAAAGAAUAUAGAUACUAAUGUAAGUUACCACCUCAAGUUCAUGUCAUUGGUUUGGAUGCUUUGUUCAGGAGUGUUCAGUGGUAUUUCAAAGGAAUCAAUAUCUAUAACAGAAAUUAAAAUCACCAGGAAUGGACCAGUGAUGGAAAUGUGUUCUGAAAAUAUGUUUAAUAUAAUUUGGCACAACUGAAGUGACAAAAAUAUAGUAGUUAGACCAUUUAUAUUCACAAUUAUUGAACAUUGUAUCUUAUUUUCUACCACAGAUGAUUUAAUCUUUUCCAUAUUGGUAUGGUCCUGGCUGAUAACUCUUUGUGUGGCAGCCUGAGAGAAUAUGGAAGACAUUGUCAGUGUUGGAAGAUGGUGGUUUUAUCACUUUUCAUUGCACUGUCUUUAAAACAUGGGCAAAUUGACUAAGACUACGGAAGAAAUAAUGGUGAAUGUGGAUUUGGUAUGAAGCAUGGAUGUCAAUUAAUCACACACGUUUUCUGAGGUCCAUUGUAAAAGGAGACCUAGUCUUUAGGGAGAGAGCCACUAAUGGGAAUAUCUUAUUCCUAGAAUUUUGUCUUUAUAUUAUUAUUCAUGAACCAAUGAAUAAUAAAUGAAUGAUAUAAAGGAAGAAAAACGUGCUUGGACCAAUGAUGAGUACCAUGGGGUAUCUGAAACAGGAUUUUUGAUUAAACCCAUAUGCAACUCUGAGGUCCAUUACAAAGAGACACGUAAUUAUUCCUUUUUUGGGAAGUGAGCUUACGGUACCUUGUCCUUGGACUUUGUGGUUCUUGGGGAUGGAUUGCAUUUUUGUUAUAAAAUCAGCCCAUGAAUUAAAAAUUUAUCAAUGAGUAAAACAAAAAGCAUAAGUCAUGUGCUUAUUAUCAGUGAAUGUAAUGAAACAUGGAUUAUUAUUAAAACUUAUCUGAGACUCCCAAUAAAUUAAUAGCCAAGGCUUCUACCAUUCUGGUAGGGAGCAUAUGGUCAUUUGUAUGCAAGAGUCAGGGUUUUUGUUCUGUGUUGGUGGGGGGUUGCUGACUGUUUUAUUAAGAAAAUGAAACAUCUUUAAUCAUAUAAAUAGUUGGUUAAAUAACCACUUAAUUGAGACCAAACAGAGACCAAUGAUGAGUGCAUUAAUCUAAUUUUUAAUGGAUUUUUAUUAAACAAAUAAAAAAAGAAACAUAAUCUGUUCUUCCUGAGGGCAAUGACUCUAGACAGAUGUAAAUAUUCCUCAGUGUUCUUGUCCAGUGCUGUGAGAGCACAGAUACUGAUGUCUUUUGUAUAUGAGAAGGAAGGUGCACUUCUGUGUCUCUGUUUGUAUUUUAGAGUCAGCAAACCAUGGACCAAUUAGGAACAAACGUUAUGAUAUGAGAAUAUGAUUCAUGUUCUUUUUUCAUGACAGACAUUCUAAGAAAAACUCUAGGCUCUUUCAUUGUUUUUGGAAUACAUAUAUGGGCCUUUCCAAGUUGUAGUAAUAUAGUUUCUUAGAAAAAUGUUUUUUAAAAGAGGCUUUUAAAAAGAGCCUUUUAAAAUGUUUUUGAAACAAGGCUUUAUUUUUCUCUAUAGAAUGAAAACCAUGUAGCUGGUUUUAUUAUUCUCUAAUCAUGAAGACCAUUAUUGUUAUUUGGUGGACUAAGGAACAGAAUGACUGAUAGUGGACAUAGGCCAGCUGAUUUAAUAAUUUAAGAAAGAAUUGUUAUCCUGAGUAAGGAGCAUAGAGGCAAAUAUAAAAUGAACGCACUCUACCUGAUUUAAUUAUAAUCUUCUAGUGAAGAUCUUGCCUUUAUCUCUGUGAAUCAGCAGAGAAGAGAUCAAUAAAGACUAGAUGAGAUUGGAUUUGGUCAUUUCUCCAAGGUGAAGAGCAUGACGAUUUCUUCUGUGAAUGAAGACCAUGGCUGAUUUAAUCCGUCUCUGCUGAUGAAGAUCUUGGCUGUUACCUUUACGGAAUGGAUGCGCAAUGAUUCAAUUAUUCUCCAGCGAGGAAGAUCAUGGUUGUUGUCUGUUUGAGUAAUGAGUGUAGAAACCUAUAAUGGAGGCAUGAUGGCUGAUCCAAUCAUUUUCCACUGAUGAAGGUUUUGAUGGCUACCCAUAAUGAACAGCCCCAUCUGAUUUAAGCACUGUGCUAUGACCAUGAACUGUAUGGUUACCUCUAUGUGUCACAGGAAGACUCUUGUGAGUAGUAGUCAAAAUUCUUGCUUUGUUUUAAGGGUAUUCUCUGUAUUCUUAAGAAGUCUAAAAUAUAAUCAAAUAAGGUCAAGCAUUUUUAUUAUUCACUACUUAAGUAUAAAUUUAUUUUUAAGAUUUCCUUCUUCAUAGCUAUUUAUUUUAUUAUUACAGCACUGUUAAUGAAUUGAUUAAUUAAUCAAAAAACAAAUGUAGAUAGACAUGAAGAAAGAUGGAGUCAAUCUUGGACCAAUGAUGAUGACUGGUGGCGUAUGAGUCAUGGACGAUGAAUACAGGUCUGGAAGUCUGAGGUCCAAUAUAAUAAAAAAUCUAGUCUUCACCUUCUGAUCCUAAGGAUAGACAUUAGGAAUAUUUGAGGAUGUUGUUCUUGUUCUUCUUGUUCAUGCAUUUUCCCUCUAUUUUUAUAAUUGGAUCAAUGAAUCAAUAAGCAAAUAUAUUUUAACUGCAUAAAGACAAAAAGAGUGAGGCAUUGUCCAAUUACGGAAAUAUAUGGUGAAACAAGAAAUACUAUCCAUUUAUAUUAAAAACACUGAUGUCUUCUUUCUAUUAAGAAUGAGUGAGUCAAAGGUAUUACUGCUUGCUGGAGGAUGGCAUAUACGAAUGAGGAGAAAGUGGUCCUUCCUGGACCAAUAGUAACAACUGCCAGCGUAUGCAUCUUGCGUGAUGAAUAAUAGAUGUCUGAAACUCUGAGGUGCAAACCAAAAGGAAUCUAGUCCAUUCCAUCCCCUCUGUUUAGAUGCUCCUAUAGACAAAUAUCAGGAGAACACUAUGGCCUAUUCUUGUCUUUAUGUUUAUUAAUUCUAAAAAAUAUUUUAAUUAAAGUAGCAAUGGUAGAGUCAAUAAACAUGUAUAAAUAAAGAUGAGACAUAAAUUACUGUUUGAUGUUAAAAUGUAUAAGAACAAAUAGUACUAAUAUAAAUUGAAAUCGAUAAUAAGUAGAUCAGCAUAUUACAUCUUUCACUAAAGAUCCUAUAGUCAGUGAUAAGUAAUAGUUAUUGCUCUGAAUCAGUUGCAAGUUUAACAUUUGUUGUAUUAAGAGAAAAAUUAAUAAAUACAUAAAUAACUGUGUAAAUGAACAGUGGAAAAUAUGGACCAAUAGAGAGGAUGUCUCAAUAUUUUCAUCUUCUUUGCCUUGCACUCUUCAGAAUGGAUGCACUGAGCUGACUUAAGCAUUCUUCUAUGAUCAAGAUUAAAUGUCCUUCUUAGGAAAGAGACCAAUAAACGAAUGAAGAAAAGGGACCCAAACAUGGACCAAUGAUGACUACUGAUGGCGUUUGAGUCAUGGACGAUGAAUACUGUGUGUCUGAAACUCUGAGGUCCAACAGAAAACGUAAUUGGAUAGAUAUCAGAAAUGUGGAAAGAUCAUAUUCUUACUUUGGAUUAAUAGAUUUAGAUUUAUCAUCGAUAGAUAAAUGAUAGAACAAUUAAACAAGAAUUAGUAAAUAGAGAGUGAAUCAUUGUUCAAUUAUGAAUACACAUGAUGAUGUAAGAAAUAUUAUCAUUAAAAAUUUUAAACACUGAUGCCCUUUAAGGAAAUGGAUCAUGAAUGUCACCUCUUUGGCUAAGGUUCAUCUAGACUCUAAUAAGAAGAGUCAGUUUCAUUUUCUGAUUCAGUCUCAUUUGAUAUUUUUCCUUUUGUUAUGAGAGAAAACAUUUCCAUUCUGAAACAAUAAUCAAUAUCAAAAUAACUGAAUAACGGAAAUGUGGAAAGGAUCAAUGGAGAUAAGUUUUGAAUUUUUUUUUUAAUUACCUGCUCUUUGUAUUCUGCAGAAUGGAUGCACUUGAGCUGACCUAAGCAUUCAUGGUCAUGAGAUUCAUGGUUGCUACUGUUGGUUAGGAGCAUAGAGAUCAGUAAUGGACACAUCUGGGCUGGCAGAACAUCUGGCCUUGAUCUGGAGCCCCAUGUCUGUCGCUCUGUAGAGGUGCACAUGAGCCAAUAAUGGAUGCAGUGAGCUGAUCAUUUCUCUGUGAUCAAGGCUAUGUUGCCUCUGUGUUAGGCCAAUACAGGAUGCACUGGCGCUGAUUUAAGAAUUCUCUCAUAGUCAAAAGACAUAUGGUUGCCUCUGUGUAGGUUCCUGGAGACCAAUGUGAGUAUGAGUCAAUAUUCUUGUCUUGGUUUGAGUGUUUUUUUAAGAGCUAUCACUGUGUUAUUAUACACUUUGACAUAUAAUCAGUUAAUAUCUUAAGAAUGGAAUUGGUGUAAUGUAUUUUGUUGAUUAAUCUGUAUGUGAAACACUGUGUUAAAUUAAUAAAAUAUAUCUAGUGUCUAUGGGAAAUAAUUUGUAGACAGAUAUUAGAUAUUCAAGAAUCUUGCUCUUCAGUUCUUCUGACUCUUUGGUAUUUACUUAUUUUUAUUAGUGAGUUGAUGAAUUCAUCUAUCAAUAAAUGAAGACAUGAAUGAAGAAAAAGAGCUCCAAGUCUGGACCAAAGAUGAAGUUUGGUGAUAACUAAUAGAUCAACAAAUAUAGAAAUGGAUGAGGAAAAAGAUGUCAAAUCCUGAACCAGUGGUGAUGGCUGGUGGCAUAUUUAGUCACAGAUGAUGAAUAAAUACAUGCCUGAAACUCUGAGGUUAGUACCUAGACAGAGAUCUAGUCUGUUAUUUUUGAUGGAUGUAGUCCUGUAGAAUGAUUAGUUAUGCACGAAGGUGAUGUUCUUGGGCUUUUGUAGUUUAUGAAUUUUGAUUGUAUUGUUACAAAACAAUUAAUGACAAAGUUUAUACAACUGCGUGAAGAUGAAGACGGUGAAACAUUGUCCAAUUAUGAAAUAUGAGGUGAGGACUGAAAUACUAUUAAUAUAAUUUGAAAGUCCUAAGGUCCAUAAGUAAAUAAGUGUCACCUCUUUGGUACAGUAUCAUAUAGACCAGGGGUCCCUGACCUCAGGGCUGCAGACCAGUACCAGUGCCUGGCGUGUUAGGAACCAGGCCACACAGCAGGAGGUGAGUGGCGGGCGAGCAAGCAUUACCACCUGAGCUCCACCUCUUGUCAGAUCAGUAGUGGCAUAAAUUAGAUUCUCGUAGGAGCAGAACCUGUUGUGAACGGUGCAUGCCAGGGAUCUAGGUCACAUGCUACUUAUGAGAAUCUAAUUCCUAUGAUCUGAGGUAGAACAGUUUCAUCUGGAAACAACCCCUCCCUGGCCUGGUCCAUGGAAAGUUUGUCUUCUACAAAACCCAUCCUGGGUGCCCAAAAUGUUGGGGACCACUGGUGUAGACAGUGAGAAGUAACAGUUAAUGUUAUUGUUCUGCAUCAAUGGCAAGUACCAUCCUGUCCUAUUUUUAGAAAAGACAAAUAAUAACAUCAAUUAGUAAAUAUUUAUGUGACUAAAUAAAUGAAAGUUUGAAAGCCAUUGUCAAUGGAGAGAAUGUCUCAAUUUUUUAAUCACUGGUUCUCCUUUGUAUUCCUAAAGGUGGAAGCUGUCUGCAGUAGGAGCAUGGAGACCAAUAAUGGAUGCUCUUAAACUGAUUUAAGCAUGCUUCCAUGGUCACAAGCCCUAUGGUUGCCACGGGGCAUUAGGAGCAUGGAGACCAAUGUGAGUAAUAAUCAAAGUUUGCAUUUUGGUGUGGGUUGUUUGCUUAAGGGUAUUAUUCACUCACCGUAUUAUUGAAAAGAGUGAAAUAUGAUCAGAGAAGACCAAUUGUUGUGCAGUGACAAAAUUGAUAUAAAGCACUAUAUAAAUUAAUGGAUAUAUGAAAAACUGAAGAUAAUUAAUAAAGGAGAUACGUUGAUGUAAGAUGACUUUAUAUACGGACUAGAAAUAUCAAGGAUCUCCUUGAGUUUUGUGAAUAUAGGGCUUUAAAAUUAUUAGUGAAUGAAUUAACUAAUCAAUGGAUAAUGUGGAAGUGAGUGGAGAAAAAGAGAACGAGUCCUGGAUCAAUGAUGUGAUGACCACUAGUGGCGUAUGAAUCUUAUGUGGCAUAUGAGUCUUAUAUAGUGAAUACGUGUUUGAAACUCUGAGGUCUGUUGGGGAAGAUACAUGGCCCAUUCUCUCUUUCAAAUUAUGCUACAUAAAUGUUUCAGAAAUGUUUUUCUUUGUGAUAAUUUCAUUCUAUUUUUAUAAUUGGAUCAAUGUGAGAAUCAAUAAACAAAUAUAUAAAUAAAGAUAAGGUAGAUGAAGCAUUGUUCAGGUAUGGCAGGAUAUAUUAUUAAUAUGUAUUGAAAACAGUGAAGUCCAAAGAGAAAUAAAUGGCACAUGCCUGUCACCUCUUUGGCCAAUGAUGACAUAGAUAGUAUAAUUAUAGACAAUGUUCAAUUUUUUGAUUAGUGGCAAGUUCAAAAUUGUUCAUUUUCUUAAGAGAAAAUGAAAUAAAUAUACCCAGAUAAUUACUGCCUAAAUGACCAACUAAAUGAAAGGUGAAAGGCAAAGAUCAAUGGUGAUAAUGUCUCAAAUUUGUUAUCAUCUUCUCUGCUCUGUACUCCUCAGAAUGAACCUAAUUGUACUGUUUUAAGAAUUCUUCCAUGGUCCUCUGUUUGCACCAUGCUUAGGAAGGAGCAUGCGGACCCAGGAUGGAUGUUUGCCAGCCGAUUCCAUGGUUACAAGCUCUACAGCUGCAUCUAUGUUAGGAGCAUGAAGACCAAUAAUGGAUGCACUGAGCUGAUUAUGAAUUUAGCCCUGAUCAAGACUUGUGUUGCUGUCGUGCUAUGAAAGAUUCCAGUAAUGAAAGCACUUGAGUUGAUUCAAGCACUCUUCUAUGGUCAUGAUCUUUGUGGUUGCCUCUGUGUGUUAGGCGCAUACAGACCAAUAUGGAUCAGAAUGAAUGCAUCAAGUGGGCUUAAGCAUUCUGCUUGAUGGAAAGGUGUAUUGCUGUUGUGUUUGGAAAGAAACUAACGUGAGUAAUAGCCAAAAUUUUGGUCUUCCUUUGGGUACUUGACUAAAGGUAUUCAUAGUAUUAUUAAAAAUUUUAAAUUAUUAUAAAGUUAACCAUGGCCCAAUGGUUAACAUAAUAUAGAACAGUAUGUUUAUUAAUCAAUAAUGUGCCACAUAGAGGUGAAUGAAUGAAAGUGACAUUGUCUAAUGUGGAAAGGAUUCUGUAGACAGACGCUUGGUAUGUCUGGCAUCAUGUUCAUAGGUUUUUGUGAAUCAUGUUCUUAUUUUACUCUUAUAAAUUGAUUAAUGAUUUAUUCAAAACAAAAGUAGAAAUAUAUGAAAAUUGAGACCAAUGAUGGCGUGAGCCAUAUACAAUGAGUUAGACAUGUCUGGACUUUGAUGUCCAACACAAAAGACAUAUAGUCUAUAUUCUUGAUAUAAGGCAUCCUCUAGGCCCAUGUUGAGAAUAUCCAAGGAUCUUGCGCUUGAUCUUUGGGUUCAUAUAUUUUCAUUCUAGUAUUAUAAUUGGAUCAAUGAAAUAACCAAUCAAUAAGUAAAUUAAUGAAGCAUUGUUCAAAUUAAAAAUAUGUAGUGAGCAAAGAAACACUACUAAUAUAUUAUGAAAACACUGAACUCUAAUUUGAAAUAAUUUUACAUGACUUUUACCUCCUUAGUUCAGAAUGGUGUAGAUGGUAUAAGUUACAGACACUGUUCAUGUUCUGGACAGAUGGCGAUUUUGAAUUUGUUCAUUCUCUUAAGAGAAAAAAAUACUCGAAAUGUGUGAUUACUGAAAUGACUGACUGAAGGUGAAAAGCAAGGAUCAGUGGAGAGAACGUCCCAGAUGUCUGUUCUCCUUCUUCGUUUUAAAAUCAUCUGUUCUGUCCUGUAUUUCUCACACUGGACCCAUCUGAGCUGAUUUAAGAAUUCUUCCAUGGUUAUGACUGUAUGAUUGAAUCUCUAUUAAGAGCUUGGAGACCAAUAGUGAUAAUCUCGAGGUGAUUUAUGCAGUCUUCCGUGGCCACCAGCCUUAUGGUUGCAUCUCUGCGUUAGAGCUUAGAGAUCAAUGUGAGUAAUAGUCAAAGUUCUUGGUGUGGUUUAGGUGGUUUAAGGUAUUCACUGCAUUACUAAAAAGUAUGAAAUAUAGUCACAUAAGGCCCGCUGUUACAAAUGACACAUAUGAAGCAUUAUAUUGAUUAAUACAUGUGUGAAAAGCUGAGGAUAAUUAAAGCAGGAGAUACAUGGAGAUGAGAUGAUAAUAUGUACAGAUUAAGAAUAUCAAGGCUGUUCUUGGGAUUUUGUGAAUCAUAGGGUUUUGAUUUAUUGUUAGUGAACUAAUGAUUAAGUCAACAGACAACAUAGAAAUGAAUGGAGAAAAGGAGGCCCAAUCCUGGAUCGAUGAUGACCACUGGUGGUGUAUGAGUCAUACAUGAUGAAUUAUGUGUCUGGAACUCUGAGGUCCUUCACAAAAGAAAUUGGGUCUUUUUGUUCAUUCUUUCUUAUGUUAUUAUUAUGACUGGGUCAAUGAAAGAAUCAGUAAACAAAUAUAUAAAUGAAUCAAGGUAAAAUGGGGGAAACGUCUAAUUAUAAAAAUUUGUAAUGAGGCAAGGAAUUUUGUUAAUAUGUGUAGAAAACACCAAAAUCCAAAGAGAAGUAAAUGGUGCAUAAUGGUUUAUUUUGGCAAAGGAUGAUAUGGACAGUAUUAAUUAGGUAAUGUUUUUGUUCUGGGUCAGUGGCAGGUUCAAAAUUGUUCAUUUUAAGAGAAAAGGAAAUAAAUAUACUCCAAGUAAUGAUUGCCUGAAUUAAUGACUAAAUGGAAGAUGAUAAGCAAGGAUCAAUGGAGGAUUUUCUCAUUUUUUAAUCAUCUGUUUUGCUCUGUACUCCUCAGAAUAGAUGCUUUAGAGGUGAUUCAGUCUCUCAUCCCUGCUCACCAGCAUGUUGGUUGCAUCUCGUUUUGGAGUAUGAAGGCCAAUAUGAGUAAUAGUCAAUGUUCCUGUCUUUGUUGGUGUAGCUUUUUAAAAAAGAUAUUUCCUAUGUUAUUAAAAUGUGUUAAAUAUAACCAAAGAGGCCCAAACAUGCCAAUUUUACUAUCAGAUUGAUAGACGUAUUAUAGUGAUUGGUCAAUAUAUGGACCAAAGAAGAUCAUUACCAUGGAAGAUAGUAUGAAGAGAUUUAGUCUGUGGAAAUGAAUCUAUAGAUGAAUGUUAGGAAUCUUUAUGAAUACUAUUCUUGUGUUUUCUGACUGAUGUGUAUUUAUUAUUAAUGAAUUAAUCAAUGGAUAAAUUUGUAUUAGUGUGAAAUCAAAGAGAUCCUGGACCAAUGAUGACAACUGGUGUGAGUCAUGCAUAAUGAAUACCAUGUAUCUGGAACUCUGAGGUCCAACACAAAUGGCAUCUAAUCCAUUCCCAUUUCGAAGGGAUCUUAUGCACAGAUGUCAGAAUCUAUGAGGAUGUUGUUGUUGAUAUUUUUGUUCAUGAAUUUUAAAAAUAUUAUUGUAAACGAAUCAAGGACAGAAUAAAUAAACAAAUGUAUAAAUUAAUAGAGAUGAAGAGGGUGAAGCAUUGUUUGUUACUAAACUUCAGAGUAAGGAAAAUGAAUAUUAAUAGAAAUGGAAUGAGUAAUAAGUUGAUCAAGGAUAUUAUGUCUUGAACUAAGGAUGACACAGUUCUUGCUGUCAGUUGCAAGUUUUGAAGUUUAUUAUGUGAAAAAUAUAUAAAUAUUAGCAUAAAUUAGUAAAAGCCUAAAAGGCAGUGCUAACAAAUGGUAAACAACAUGGAUUAAUGGAGAGAACAUCUCAAUGUUUUUCUGUGCUUUCUACUCUUCAGAAUGGAUGCAGCAAGCUGUUUCAGCCAUUCUGUUGGAAUCAAGAUUGUUGUGUUGCCUCUGUGUUUGGGAAGAGACCAAGGUGAAUUAUAGUCAAAGUUCUUAUCUUGGUUUCAACAAUUUGUUUGAGGAUAUUCUUGGUAUUAUUAUAAAAUGUAUUAAAUUAUUCAGUUAGAGAGGAGAGAUACGCUGAAGAGAAAUAUUAUACAACAUGGUGAUUGUAGUUAAUGUUAUAUGUCAUAUUCUUGAAAAAUGCUAAAGAGUAGCUGUUAAGUAUUCUCACCACAAAAUGAUAACUAUGAGAUGUAAUACAUAUGUCAGUUAGAUAGAUUCCAUAUCUAAGUUAUUCCAUAAUGUAUAUAUACUUCAGAACAUCAUGUUGUGCAUGAUAAAUACAUACAAUUUUAUCUGUCAAUCAAAAAAUUAAAAAGUAUUAAAUUAAUACACAGUUAACCACAGCUCUGUGAUGAGUAUGACCUGAAACAGUAUGUUGUUUAAUUUAUCAUGUGCAACACUGAGGUCAAUAAAUGAAAGAGAUCUAGUCUAUGUUGAAAGUGACUCUGUAGAUGUUAUAGAUAUUCAAAGUCCUUGUUGUUGGCUUUGCAUGAACCAUGUAUUUGUUUUUAUUAAUGUCAUUAAUAUGAUCAUUUAAUUGAUAAAAAUGUAGGAACACAUGAAGGAGAGGAGACCCAAUCAUGGACCAAUGAUGACAAAUGGUGGCAUUGGAGUUAUGGACGAUGAAUUACAUGUGUCUGAAACUCUGAGGUCCAACACAACACAUAAUUAGUCUGUUCUGUCUGUUGAAAUUGAGUUACAGAGAAAUGUCAGGAAUAUAUAGAUAAUAUCCAUGUAUUGAUUCCAUAGAUUGAUAUUUAUUAUUAUCAAUGGAUCAAUGAUAGAUUCAUUAAACUAAUAUAAAUUAAUGUAUAACGAACAAGAGGGUCAAGCAUUGUCCAAUAUGAACAUAUGUGUGGAGGCAAGAAAUGUUAUUAAUCAAAAUUUAAAGCACUGACAUUCAUUUACAAAUAAAUGGAUAAAAGAUAUUACCAGUUGUGGUAAGAAUCAUAUAGAAAUUGAUAAGAGUUGAUUUUAUUGUUCUGGGUUAGUCCCGUGAUGGAAGUAUUCCUUUGCAUAAGAUAAAUAAAUAUAUAUAUACACACACACGCACACACACACACACACAUAGUGAACAAAUAAAUAACUAUAUGACCUAGUAAAUGAAAUGCAGAAAGCAGGAAUCAAGAAUCAAUGGAGAUAAGGUCUUAAUUUUGUUAUCAUUUGCUCUGCUUCAUACCCUUAGAAUGAACACACUCAGGUGAUUUAAGCACUCUUCCACGGCUACGAGCUCUGUGGUUGCCUCUGUAUAUUAAGAGCACAGAGAUUAAACUGACUUGAGAAUUCCUCCUUGGUCACAAGCUUUUGGGUUGCAUGUCUGCAUUAGGAGCCUAGAGAACAAUGUGAGUAAUAGCUAAAGUUCUUGUCUUGUUUUGCAUGGUUUGUUUAUGGGCAGUCACUAUAUUAUUAAAAAGUGUGAAAUAUAAUCAAAGAAGGUGAGCUGUAGCUUAGUAAUAAGCAUGGGAUUAAUAUGAGGUAUUAUAUUUUUUAGUGUGUACAUGAAAUACUACAAUUAUUAUUAACAUUAAGAGAUAUUGAAGUGAGAAUGAUUUUAAGUACAUGUUAGGGAUAUAAAUCUCUUGAAUUUUUGUGAAUCAGAGUUUUAAAAUUAUAAUUAUUAAAUUAAUCAAUAAAUAACUUAGAAAUGAAUUGAGUAUAAGUGGGCCCUUCCUGGAUCAAUGAUGAAACUUGCCGGCAUAUGAGUCUUGGAUAAUGAAUGAUAUGUGUGUGGAACUCUGAGGUCCAACACAAAAGAAAAGUGAUGUUUUUUUCCAUGCACUUUCAUUCUAUUAUUAUAAUCAGAUCAAUAAAAGCAUCAAUGAACAAAAGUAUAAGUAAAUCGAGAUAAAAUAGAUGAGGCAUUAUCCAAAUAUAGAAAUAUAUGGGAAGGCAAGAAGUAUUAUUACUUUACAUUGAAAUCAUGAAAUUCAAUGAGAAAUUAAUGGUAUGUGACUUUUACCUCUGUGGCUAAUGAUACACAGGCAGUUUAAAUUAUAGGCAAUGUUCAUACUCUGAGUCUGUGGCAAAUCUGAAGUUGUUCGUUUUUAGAGAAAAUGUAAUAUCCUCCCAAGGAAUGUUUGCCUUAAUUACCGGCUGAACGGUAGACACAAAGCAGGGAACCAUGGCCAUAAUGUCUCAAAUUUUUAAUCAACAGUCCUACUUUGUGCACCUCAGAAUGGGCUCACUUGAGUUGUCUCAAGCACCCCUUCAUGCCCACAGGCUGUACAGUUGCAUCUGUGUGUUAGGAGCUUGGAGUCCACUGUAAGUAAUAGUCAAUGUUCUUGGCUUGAGUACUUUUUUUAAGGGUAGUUACUACAGUAUUAAAAAUUAUACAGUAUAUUAAAGAAGGCCAACUGCAGCCCAGUGUCAAAUGUGAAAUUGAUAUGGAGCAGUCUAUUGAUGAAUUAAUUCAAUUAAUUCAUUUAAGAAAACUGAGGAUAUUUAGUAAAGGAGGUACAUUGACCUGAGAAUGAUUCUAUACACAUAUUAGGGACAUCAAGGCUUUUUUCAGGUUUUGUGCAUUAUGGCACUUUAAACACAUUAUUCAUAAAUUACUGAAUUAAUCAAUAAACAAUGUAGAAACAAAUGAAGAAAAGAUGGGCCAUACCUGGACCAAUGAUGAUGACUGGUGGUAUAUGACUCAAAGGUAUAAGAAGUGUUUUUGUUAGUGGCAAGUUCAGAGUCAUUUGUUUCAAGAGAAUAUGAAAUAAAUAUAUUCCAAAUAAUGAUGAUUUAAGUGAUAAAUGAAAGGUGAAAGGCAAGGAUCAUUGGAGGAAUGUCUGAAUUUUUAGAUCAUCUGUUCUGUUUACACUCCUCAGAAUGGCUUCACUCCAUCUGAUUUAAGCACUCUUCCAUGGCAUGUGCACUAUGGUUGGUUCUGUGUGUUAGGAGCACGCAGACCAUUGGGAGUAUGCAUUCAUUUCCUCUCUUUACAAGGUCCAGUAAGUUGGUGUCAGUGACAUACAAGAAUCUUUGUGUUCAUGCAUUCUUUUUUUUGAGAUGGAGUCUCUCUCUGUUGCUCAGGCUGGAGUGCAGCAGUGCGAUCUCA